GUAGCAAUACGGUCUCAGUGGCGAACGGGUGAGUAACGUGUUGGUGACCUGCCCCGAAGUGUGGAAUAACAGAUCGAAAGAGCUGCUAAUACCGCAUAAUAUCCAGAGGACUAGAUGCCUUUGGAUUAAAGGAUUUAUUCGCUUCGGGAGGGGCCUGCGUCCCAUCAGCUAGUUGGUAAGGUAAAGGCUUACCAAGGCUAUGACGGGUAGGGGACCUGAGAGGGUGGCCCCCCACAAUGGAACUGAAACACGGUCCAUACACCUACGGGUGGCAGCAGUAGGGAAUAUUAGUAAUGGGCGAAAGCCUGAACUAGCAACGCCGCGUGUGCGAAGAAGGCCUUCGGAUUGUAAAGCACUUUUUGAGAGGAUGAGGAAGGACGGUACUCUCAGAAUAAGUCUCGGCUAACUACGUGCCAGCAGCCGCGGUAACACGUAGGAGGCGAACGUUUAUCCGGAUUUUACUGGGCGUAAAGCGCGUGUAGGUGGUUUGGUAAGUAGGGCGUGAAAGCUCCCUGGCUCAACUGGGAGAGGCCGUUCUAAACUGCCGAACUAGAGGAUGGUAGAGGGAGGUGGAAUUCCGGGUGUAGCGGUGGAAUGCGCAGAUAUCCGGAGGAACACCAGUGGCGAAAGCGGCCUCCUGGACCACUCCUGACACUCAGACGCGAAAGCUAGGGUAGCAAACGGGAUUAGAGACCCCGGUAGUCCUAGCCCUAAACGAUGUAGACUUGGCGUCGGUGGUUUAAACGCCAUCGGUGUCGAAGCUAACGCGAU
rnacentral:rRNA from 1 species